UAUCUGAUUUUGUAACAAGUUUAGUCACACCCAGCUCGAAACGUGAUUGGGAUGAAAAACCAGGAAGUGUGACAUUGAGUAAGGCAGUGCUAUUCACAGUGCAGACAUUUGCUCUUACCGUGCGCUACACCACCUGAUUUCACGAAUUAUUUUACCUGCUUGGUUCAGAUAAUAAGCAAAUUUGUUAAAUCAGGUGGUGUAAUGCACAAGUGAAGCAAAUGCCAGCACUAUGGACACUAUUCCACUAUGUGGAAUUGAGUAGCACUGGAGUAAGGUGAUCCCAAGUGUGACAUGGCUGUAGGCUAGAAUAAAAAGAUGAAUUCCAAAGCGGAGAUGGAAUUAUGGACACUAUUUUGACCCUGCUGCACCACCAAGGGACGAGGAACAGGCAUGAAUGUACGUGGAUCGCAUUGAGAUGUGGUCUGAGGAGAUCCACGGUGACUUCGAUAGAGGUCCUCAAUGCUUGUUGACACCAUCAGUCCUGCCACCGACGACUCGGACCUCUUCACAGCAGUGGCUGAUGGGCCAGUUCUUACACCUACUGUACGUCACUUCUAGGCUUUGAAUGCAGAUUAGGGAGUGGAGUCAGAAGUUGAAAAUUGAACACAAGGACUGGAGUUCGGUGAUCCGCAGAAUUGGAGAGAAGAUGUUAUGUUUUGCAUUGAGAACUCAUAACAUUUGGGGUUGUGUCCUUUUCAUGGGGGUGUAUCCUUUUCAUAA